AUUGAACGCUGGCGGCAGGCCUAACACAUGCAAGUCGAACGAGUGGCGGACGGGUGAGUAAUGUCUGGGAAACUGCCCGAUGGAGGGGGAUAACUACUGGAAACGGUAGCUAAUACCGCAUACCAUCGGAUGUGCCCAGAUGGGAGUAGCUAGGAGGUGGGGUAACGGCUCACCUAGGCGACGAUCCCUAGCUGGUCUGAGAGGAUGAACGGCCACACUGGAACUGCUACACGGUCCAUACUCCUACGGGAGGCAGCAGUGGGGAAUAUUGCACAAUGGGCGAAAGCCUGAUGCAGCCAUGCCGCGUGUAUGAAGAAGGCCUUCGGGUUGUAAAGUACUUUCAGCGGGGAGGCGUUACCCGCAGAAGAAGCACCGGCUAACUCCGUGCCAGCAGCCGCGGUAAUUC
rnacentral:rRNA from 1 species